UUAAGUGACGAUAGCCUAGGAGAUACACCUGUUCCCAUGCCGAACACAGAAGUUAAGCCCUAGUACGCCUGAUGUAGUUGGGGGUUGCCCCCUGUU
rnacentral:rRNA from 2 species